UACGGAGGGUGCAAGCGUUGCUCGGAAUUAUUGGGCGUAAAGGGUAGGUAGGUGGUCUCAUUUGUCUGGGGUGAAAGCCUUGAGCUUAACUCAAGAAGUGCCCCAGAAACGGUGAGACUGGAGUCCUGGAGAGGGUCGUGGAAUUCCCGGUGUAGCGGUGAAAUGCGUAGAGAUCGGGAGGAACACCAGAGGCGAAGGCGGCGACCUGGACAGGCACUGACGCUCAGACACGACAGCAUGGGGAGCGAACGGG
rnacentral:rRNA from 1 species